rnacentral:lncRNA from 1 species
AGAUUGGUAAAUCCAAAAGCAUGGUGUUCUAAUUUUAUAGGCUUCUGUAACAGGCCUCAUGAUAUUUCAACUCACGGAAGAACAUGAAAAGACAGUAAGUGUGCUGGGAAGAAGGAAGGGACAAAGCAGGUUACCCAAACCUGCUCUCAAGACAACUAAGACAUCCAUGUGGGAGCAGAAUUCAGCCCUUUGUGAGAAUGGAGUCCCUAAUCCAAGCCCCUGGAAGGUUCCUCGACUACAUAGAGGACCAGCCUCAGUAUGAAUUAUGUUAGGGAUAAACCAUCCAUAAUAGCACCACACUCUAGCUUUCUACCACACAAUACAGUUUCUGAUAGAAAAACAUUAAUGAAAUUCCAGAAAAAAUUAACUACACAAAUUAAAUACUACAAUAAUAUACGUGGAGAUGAAUUAUGUACACUAAAACUCUUCACGGAAUUACCGGUAAGAAGGUAUAUGUGUGAUUCCCUCCCUGUGACCUGAGACAUUUCUUUUCUAAGCUUGGCCUAUAAAUAAUAAUCAUUCAACAAAGUUGAAACUACCAUAUCCUGCUUUGAGACUUUGAAAUGAACUUCUGUCCUUUUAACAAUUUGUGCCCAAUGUGGCUCAAAUAACUUUGCAAGGACAUUUCUCAAUUUAUGUGUUCCUUUAAAUAUAAAAUUAUUCUACUUCUGGCCUGUGGUCUUCACUAAGAUUAGGUAUUUCCAGUCUUUUAUUCUGGAAUCCUUUGAGAUCAGGAAGUCUGCGUUGGGACUAGGAAACUGGUAUAAGUCCCCACCAGAGAGACGAUUGCACCUCAUCUCAGCAUGAACGUCUCAUGGAAACAGAGAGUAUUAUCUACACUUGUGAAUGGAGGCUUGCCGUUGCAGUUAAAAUUUGGGGAUUAUUUUUAAAAUAAGCUAUUUUUCAAAGUGUUAUAUUGAUACAAUCCAUCUUGUACAGCAGGAGAGUACUUUCUCCGAUUAUGACUUAAUGCCAAUUCACCUUAUUUUAAUGAACAGUUGGCAGUUCACAGCAUCAAGGUAAACACAAAUCUGUAACAAACAACAUGACAGGGACUUUUUAUGUCAUCUUGCUGCUCUCACAUUAGAAAGUCGUCUUAUGUAAAUUGGGAUCACUGGAAGUUAGAAGAACAUGGCCUGCCACCAGAUAUUCUGAGGUGAGUUCUGUCUGGAACGGCCCCAUCCAGGCCUGUGGGUUGAUAGAUGGAUUCUGUGUGCUGCUGAGGUAAUAUGUGGGGUGCUUCCAAUGCAAAGAGCUAAAUGAGUCAUUAUGAAGUCUUCAUUACUGCAGCUUCAACUAAUGGCUCAAAGAAAAGAUGUGUCAAGGUCUAGAAACUUUGUAGCCAAUGAGAGAGCAGAGAAAUAAUGAGGUAAGCUUGUCCAAUCUUUAGGUAGAUAAAAUUCUAAUGAGCUUCAGUAGGGGGUAAGUGCUUAGAGUUCACCUUCAUUGGUUCCAGGUGUGGAGAGAGAGAGGAGAGAGGAGAGAGAGAGGGGAGAGAGAGAGAGAGAGAGAGAGAGAGAGAGAGAGAGAGAGAGAGAGAGAGAGAGAGAAGGAUUUCAUUCCUAGAAAGCAUGUUUCUAUGUUCUUGUCAUGUGCUUGUUUAGACACUACUGAGUGUUAUGUUUCUGCAAAACACUUCAGAGUCUGACGGAAGCUGUGCAUUCUGUGAGUCGUGAAGCAGUACGCUGAACCCUCUAAUAACAGAUGUAAUAAAUGUAUUUUGACAUGUGUUUAAGAAGCACUUUUUCUCUUGAUGCUACAAUGUAAAGAUGUACAAUAGGAAACCCUCAGAUGUAUAGAUACAUUUGCAUGCAAGGGAAGUGAGUGGAGAUAUCAAGUGACUACAGGCAUCAGACAAGACUUAGUUUAAAACCUCACUGAAUCAAGGCAUUAAAUUCAACAUUGGUGAUGUCUAGAGAAGUUGCCUACUCAAUCCCAUGUGCUGUCCCUAGCCAUCUAUGAUGUCUGAUGGUGUUAAAUUUCUCCUAACAUUUAACCUAGAUCUGCCCUGUUGCACUCAAAGCUUACUACUUUUUGUUUUGUCUCCAUUGACUAGCGAUAAUAAUUGGCCUCCAUCCUCUUUGUAAUGCCACUUUACAGGGGUAAAAUAGUAUGUGCCCCUGAGUCUUCUUCCGUGUGAAUUGGACGUGUCUAGUCCUCCGAACCUUUCCUUAUGAGUCAUAUAUUUUCAACCAUUUAUCAGAAGUGCCCCUUGUUAGUUAGUUCUUUCUGUGAAUGGCAGGAUGCCCCAAACCCAGGAUCCAGACAAGAUAUGUCCUCAUCAAGCCAAACGGGAUUACCGAGCAAGGUUUAUUCAUGAAUGCCCCUUGGCAUAGCAUAACCAAGGCAGCUCCGUUUUUCUUAGCUGUCUUCUCGCCUAGCUUUUUAUUGCAUCCUAAACAGCAACCAUCACCUGGAGAGACAGAUUAAUGGCCUUUCUCUGUGAAGCUCUCUCACUCCUCUCAGCAGGCUUGCCCUUCCUGGAAUCAUUCUGCCAACUGAACCCUUGAUUCCUUAACAGGCUUCUUUAAAUGAAGCUCUUCUGCUGAGUGGUAAAGUUUCAUUUUUCAUAUUAUGGGGUAAAGAAGCCCACCUGAUCUCCCUUUCCUUAAUUCUUUUUCCUUUUUAAGAGUUGUUUUCAGUUCACAACAAAAUGAUCAAAAGGCACAAUGAUUUCCUGUAUACCUCCUGUGUACAUGUGGAUAUCUGCAUAUACAUAUGUGAAUGCCUAUGGAAACACACACAACCACAAGCACCCCCACCAAGAUGGAAGCCAGUGCCUGGAGUUUGUGUUGAAUGCUGUGUUGGUGUUGGCCAUUGUGUGGCUUUCAGCAAAUGUAAGAGCACGUGCCCACCUUGUUUCACAGAGGGUCACUCAGUUGGCCUAAGAGUCAUUCGGAGAGACCAUAUGCCUUCCUUCCACUAGUGCCAAGAAGCCUCUGAUCUCUUAACUAGUACCAUGGUUUCUGCUCAUCCUGAACUUUAUUAUAUUUGCGGUUAUGAAUUGUGUAGCCAUGUAUGAAGAUGAACUUUUAGUUCUCAAAAACGACUAAGUUGACAUCAUUUCAGAAUCAUCCAGUUUCUGGAUCAUACUGGAGUUAGUCUUGGUUGUUUUAUUUUAUUUUUAAUUUUUUAUCCAUCUGGAACAAACUACUCUCUCUCUCUUUCUCUCUCUCUCUCUCUCUCUCUCUCUCUCUCUCUCUCUCCCUCCCUCCCCCUCUCGCUCAUUGCCUUUUGAUCAUACUUUCCUCCUCCUCCCUGACAUCUUUCAAAAUUGCCCCCUCUUUGCUCUCCAACUUAUGUCUUCCCCCCACGCCCCACCCUGCCCCAGAAAGUACAGUUUGUGCUGUCUGUAUAUUCUUGGCUGUGUGGUUUUUCACUGGAAUGUAGUCUACACAUCAGAGGCUUAACCCUUAAGGAAAACAGAAUCUUCCUCUCUCUCGGCAGCCAUCUCAUGCUAAUGGUUUAUGUGUUGAGUUGGGAAAGAAUAUGAAAGCCUUUCGCGUUACUAUUGCUAUGGAUGCUAAUGGGCAAUUGUACAGGAUGGAAACUCAAAAUGUCAAUGAGUAAAACAUAAUGUGAAAUGACAAGUAUCACCAAUAGUGAGUCCCACAAAGCAGACCCAGGACAGACAUGCUAGAUUGCAGAGCCUGUGAGUGCUUUCAGAAGAAUUCUGUAGUCUGUUGGUAUUUGCCUCUUUGCAUUUAUUUAACUGUUGUUUCCUGGUCUUACAAGGCACUAUCAGAAAAAAAAAUAUAAACAUUUUAAUGACAGAUGAAGAAACAGACAAAAUCUGAAGAUGAUAACGAUUGUAAGAAGCACUCGUCACUUGACCCCUUCCUGAGCUCAGCCCGUGGAUUUCCUAACUCCCCACCCCCCGCCACCUCAUGAAAUAGACUUUUCUUGCUACUGUUUUUGACACUGCCAGUAACUUCCAGCUUUGUGCAGAUUAAGUACAAAAGGUGUUUAUGUCUCAUAAGUCAUGAUUUAAAUGAACUUUACAAAGUGUUAAAGCCUGAGCUCUACAUAAUGUAUUCUCUUUGCCAUCUGUCAAAGAAAAAUGGCAAUACCCAGAAAAGCAUGUGUUAAGUAUAUCUAACAAUCACAGAUGUAGUUUAAAAAAAUAAAAAGGGAAAAAUGAAAAUAAUUAUAAUAGGAUGAGAUAUAAUCUUUUUUCUCUAAAACUUACGAUUAAAAUUUGUUACUUUAUCAUACAUUUGCCCUUGAACAAAGAGAUGGCAAGGCCUGCUGAGAAUCAAGGUCUUCUGGACAUGGCACAGCCUUUGUGCUCCUGAACUCAUAGCAGCCGUGGUUAUCUGCAUGAGACACACAUAUCUCUGUUCAGCGUGUUGGUGUAACUGAGAUAAAUGCCAAGCUGGCUCCCUGCUGUGCGUGGUCCGACACCCCUUGGCCAUAGAGAUUCCAGCUAUUUAAGUUUGGAAAUGACAUUUCUUCACACGUCUUCCAAGAUAGCAAUGUAUGUCAAUCACCGGGAGCUCUGCCAAUGACAAUGCCAAUGGAUUUGAAUUUCCCAUUCAUGCUAGGGUGAAGGGGCUAUCUCUUUGACUUCUCCGACUGGGGCCUUUCAUCUCACCCAGGAAAGUUUAUUUCCCAAGGAAUUUUCUUUGUGGUCUCAAACUUGAAUGACCUUCCUUUUAUAACCUCUGAUAUCACCCAGGGUUUUAUUGCCAGGAAGUACCUCUUAGUUGACAUGCUUAAUACUGGGUUCCUGUGAUCUAUUCUAGGGAACCCCGAAACUUAGAGAGAAAACUGAGGAAAAUGAUCUGGUUUCCAGGUUUGGGAAUACCACUGAACCACUGACCCUUAAGGAUACAUGGAAAAAUAACCUGUAACAUUCAAAUUCUACAAAAUACAUUGUGUUCAUACAACCGGAAGGUAUCUCCAUAUAUCAAUAUGAUUGUGGAGUUUUGUGAAAUGCUGUGUGCAUCAUGGACGCCGAAAUACUGUGGAUACCUCUCAAAUGCAUAGCAAUUUGUCUCCAUGGGUCACUCACAAAUAUCAGAUGGUAAUAGGUCAAGUAUGAGGGGAGAGAGAUAAUCUGCACAACAGUCACGUUUCUCUCAUAUUUGCACACACCUUAGCCUUUAGGUGGCCCGAAGAUUUUUUCCACAUACGCAGUUUGCAAAUGUGGUUUGAAGGGGUGAGCGAUGCUAUUGUCAUCCAAGGGAAGGUAGUUUUAGGAAAAAGCAAGAGAUGUGAGCUUGAAGGAACAUUCUACCCAUCCUUCCUCUUUACCACACCCCAGUGACAAGAAGGAUACCUAGUUGGCCUCCCUAGGUACCCUCCUGUCCUGGCAGAAUAUCUAAGAGCAAUGCAGGGCUGCUUCCACCCACCUGACCAGCUCUCACAUCGAGGAAGAAAAAGGGACAGCUUAUCUAAUAACAAGACUUACUGUUCUGAAAGGAACUCCUAUUUUUCUCUGCUUGGACCAGGAGAGGCUUGUUGUCCAUCCUGGGUGUGGCCAUCCUCACCAAGGGCUAUGGAAAACGUCUCUGGGAAGUUCCAAACCAAUAAGCAAAGAUUUG